rnacentral:rRNA from 1 species
UACGUAGGGUGCGAGCGUUGUCCGGAAUUAUUGGGCGUAAAGGGCUCGUAGGCGGUUUGUCGCGUCGGGAGUGAAAACACUGGGCUUAACUCAGUGCUUGCUUCCGAUACGGGCAGACUAGAGGUAUGCAGGGGAGAACGGAAUUCCUGGUGUAGCGGUGAAAUGCGCAGAUAUCAGGAAGAACACCCGUGGCGAAGGCGGUUCUCUGGGACGGUACUGACGCUGAGACGCGAAAGCGUGGGGAGCGAACAGG